rnacentral:rRNA from 1 species
AGUCCACAUCGACGGGGAGGUUUGGCACCUCGAUGUCGGCUCAUCACAUCCUGGGGCUGUAGUAGGUCCCAAGGGUUGGGCUGUUCGCCCAUUAAAGUGGUACGCGAGCUGGGUUCAGAACGUCGUGAGACAGUUCGGUCCCUAUCCGUCGCAGGCGUAGGAAAUUUGAGAAGACCUGUCCUUAGUACGAGAGGACCGGGAUGGACGUACCUCUGGUGUACCAGUUGUCCUGCCAAGGGCAUGGCUGGGUAGCUAUGUACGGAAUGGAUAAGCGCUGAAAGCAUCUAAGCGCGAAGCCAACUUCAAGAUAAGAUUUCCCACCGCAAGGGUAAGACCCCAGAAAGACUAUCUGGUUGAUAGGUCGAAGGUGUAAGUGCAGCAAUGUAUUUAGCUUAUCGAUACUAAUAGGUCGAGGACUUGACCAA